GUGUCCAACUCUUUGGGACCAUGGACUAGACACUCUAUAGAAUUCUCUGGGGCAGAAUACUGGAGUGGGUAGCCUUUCCCUUUCCGGAGGGAUCUUCCCAACCCAGGGAUGGAAUCCAGGUCUCCUGCAUUGCAGGCAGAUUCUUCACCUGUUGAGCCAUAA